GAUGGUUGUCGUCAGCUCGUGUCGUGAGAUGUUGGGUUAAGUCCCGCAACGAGCGCAACCCCUAUUGUUAGUUGCCAUCAUUCAGUUGGGCACUCUAGCGAGACUGCCGGUAAUAAACCGGAGGAAGGUGGGGAUGACGUCAAAUCAUCAUGCCCCUUAUGACCUGGGCUACACACGUGCUACAAUGGUUGGUACAACGAGUUGCGAGUCGGUGACGGCGAGCUAAUCUCUUAAAGCCAAUCUCAGUUCGGAUUGUAGGCUGCAACUCGCCUACAUGAAGUCGGAAUCGCUAGUAAUCGCGGAUCAGCACGCCGCGGUGAAUACGUUCCCGGGCCUU
rnacentral:rRNA from 1 species